AUUGAACGCUGGCGGCAGGCCUAACACAUGCAAGUCGAACGAGUGGCGGACGGGUGAGUAAUGUCUGGGAAACUGCCCGAUGGAGGGGGAUAACUACUGGAAACGGUAGCUAAUACCGCAUACCAUCGGAUGUGCCCAGAUGGGAUUAGCUAGUAGGUGGGGUAACGGCUCACCUAGGCGACGAUCCCUAGCUGGUCUGAGAAGAUGACCAGCAACACUGGAACUGAGACACGAUCCAGAGUCUGACGGGAGGCAGCAGUGGGGAAUAUUGCACAAUGGGAGCAAGCCUAAUGCAGCCAGGCCGCGUUGAUGAAGAAAGCCUUCGGGUUGAAAAAUACUUUCAGCGAGAAGGCGUUACUCGCAGAAGAAGCACCGGCUAACUCCGUGCCAGCCGCCGCGGUAAUAC
rnacentral:rRNA from 1 species